rnacentral:lncRNA from 1 species
UUUUCUGACAUUUGAAAAGAUCUGAAGAUACGCCCCUUGGAUGCCUGCAGAGAAGCUCUGGGGCUUCAGUCAAUGACUCAGGGUAGCCACCGAACAUGAUGCUCGGGCAGUGGGUGCCACCUGGACUCCACUCUCCCCUCUCUCUGGGAUCAUAGAGUCCAAGGUGUUCUGUGGCCUCUCGGCCAAUCCCAGCAGCUCAGCGUGCAGAAGACCGAGGAGCCAUUGGUCAGUGUAGGAGGUGCCUGGAGUUUUGGAGAUGGGAUCCACAGGAAUUCAACACAACACGAAAUAAUCAACAAAUUCGGGGAAUGUUAAUCUGACCAUCACCAGUUACAAAUGAUGUUUCAUGCUACCUUCUAUUCCUGCCUUCAUAAAUCAAGGAAAAGAAAAAGAGAACAUAUAUCCCCCUACCUUUUGAUUUCCAACAGUCUACUGAGAGGCCAAGAUUAUUUGCAGGGAAAGAAAAGGGGUCAAAAUGUUUUGCCAGUAACUCCCAAAUCAUCUACAGCCAAGGAGAAAAGUGUUUCAAGACAGAGGUGCUCAAUGGUAUCAAAUACUGCCAACAGACCAAGUAAUACAUGCAUUGAAGUGUCUACUGGAUCUAGCUAUAUGAAUUUUUAAUUUAGGACACUUAGGCCAUACUGAAGCAAGGUGACAAAAUGAAUAGCUACAAUGUCUCGUGAAUCUUGGGUUUCCAUUCACCCUGGUAUUCAAGAGAAAUUCUUGCAUCAUGGAAGUUGCAGUUGGAUAGGACUUUCUCAGCUGAACACUGUCAUCUGCCAGAGCUUCAGGCAAGAACCCAGAACAGAUGAAACCCCAGACAUGACAAAAUAAGCCAAAGAAUACCAGGCCAAGGUGUGAAAGGCCAGAUGAGAACAAGCAGCGUACACGAUUCUGUUGCCAACAGAUCUCCCCUAACAGUGUCGUGCACCAAAUUUCCACAGUGAAUGUCAGGAAAAAAUGGCAAUUGAGGUGGGUGGUCAAAAGAGAAGCACAGUCUAUGAUGAAGUCACCCCAGAGAAGUCCUUUUUCCGUUUUCUCCUGAGAAAUUACCAGAAGAAAUUAA